rnacentral:rRNA from 1 species
AGUGAACGCUGGCGGUAGGCCUAACACAUGCAAGUCGAACGGCAGCACAGUAAGAGCUUGCUCUUACGGGUGGCGAGUGGCGGACGGGUGAGGAAUACAUCGGAAUCUACUUUUUCGUGGGGGAUAACGUAGGGAAACUUACGCUAAUACCGCAUACGACCUACGGGUGAAAGCAGGGGAUCUUCGGACCUUGCGCGAUUGAAUGAGCCGAUGUGGGAUUAGCUAGUUGGCGGGGUAAAGGCCCACCAAGGGGACGAUCCGUAGCUGGUCUGAGAGGAUGGUCGGCCACCCUGGAACUGAGACACGGUCCAGACUCCUACGGGAGGCAGCAGUGGGGAAUAUUGGACAGUGGGCGCAAGCCUGAUCCAGCCAUACCGCGUGGGUGAAGGAGGCCUUCGGGUUGUAAAGACCUUUUGUUGGGAAAGAAAAGCAGCAGGUUAAUACCCCGCUGUUCUGACGGUACCCAAAGAAUAAGCACCGGCUAACUUCGUG